UGACUAACCUACCUUCGGAGGGGGACAACCUGGGGAAACCCGGGCUAAUACCGCAUGAUGCGCUAUGGCCUUAUGGCUGCAGCAUGACAGAGGGCCUCUACUUGUAAGCUCUCGCCUGAAGAGGGGGUCNCGACGUAUCAGUUAGUUGGUAGGGUAAUGGCCUACCAAGGCACGACGG
rnacentral:rRNA from 1 species